AGAGCAUUUUUCUAUAUCAAUCCAAUAUUUUAAAUAUUCUACCCCACCAUAUUUUGUGGGGAUAUUUUUCUUACAUCUACAUUUGCAUAUAUAAUAUUUGAAUAACAACAAAAUAUUAUUAACUGUUUUACUGUUAACAAAAUCCUCAGACACACCUAAAAUUACUUCUUUUGCACUGAAAGGCAGGAGAAUGCUAUAAUUUUUAAUCCAAUC
rnacentral:lncRNA from 1 species